AAUAAUUACACCACAAUAUGAGUCAAACAUGAAUAAUUCAUCAAGUUAAAUUUGGUGUAUAUAGCUUCAAGCAGUACAGCUGCCAAAUGGACUUUAAAGAUUUAACCAUUAUUAUGUUAGAUGAACCAUAAACACCCUUUCUACACUCAGAAAAAAUAGUUUUGCUACAUUUGCUUGUCAUGGGUGUAGAACAUGUCCCCC